rnacentral:tRNA from 1 species
CGGAGUAUAGCGCAGCUCGGUAGCGCGUUCGCCUGGGGGGCGAAAGGUCACAGGUUCGAAUCCUGUUACUCCGACCA